rnacentral:snRNA from 11 species
GUGCUUACCUAGAAGGGGAGAUACUAUGAUCACAGAAGUAGUCUUCCCUCGUUGUACUCUAAAUCUGGUAUCUCUGUAAUGUCCCCAAAUUCAGGUGUUGUGACUACAUAAUUUGUGGUAGCAGGGACUGUGUUCACACCUUCCUUU